rnacentral:rRNA from 1 species
CAAUAGCGUAUAUUAAAGUUGUUGCAGUUAAAAAGCUCGUAGUUGGACCUUGGACCUGGACAGGCGGUCCGCCUCACGGCGUGUACUGUCUUGCUGGGUCUUUCCUCUUGGUGAUCUGUUGUUUCGGCAGCAGGGAACCAGGACUUUUACUUUGAAAAAAUCAGAGUGUUCAAAGCAGGCUCGACGCCGGAAUAUAUUAGCAUGGAAUAAUAAAAUAGGACGUGCGGUUCUAUUUUGUUGGUUUUUGGAAUCGCCGUAAUGAUUAAUAGGGACAGUCGGGGGCAUUAGUACUCGCAUGCUAGAGGUGAAAUUCUUGGAUUUUGUGAAGACUAACUUCUGCGAAAGCAUUUGCCAAGGAUGUUUUCAUUAA